UGGGGAAUAUUGCACAAUGGGCGAAAGCCUGAUGCAGCGACGCCGCGUGCGGGAUGACGGCCUUCGGGUUGUAAACCGCUUUCGGCAGGGAAGAAGCCGUAAGGUGACGGUACCUGCAGAAGAAGCGCCGGCUAACUACGUGCCAGCAGCCGCGGUAAUACGUAGGGCGCAAGCGUUGUCCGGCAUUAUUGGGCGUAAAGAGCUCGUAGGCGGUUCGUCGCGUCUGCGGUGAAAUCCUCAGGCUCAACCUGGGGCGUGCAGUGGGUACGGGCGGACUGGAGUGCGGUAGGGGUGACUGGGAUUCCUGGUGUAGCGGUGGAAUGCGCAGAUAUCAGGAGGAACACCGAUGGCGAAGGCAGGUCACUGGGCCGCAACUGACGCUGAGGAGCGAAAGCAUGG
rnacentral:rRNA from 1 species